rnacentral:lncRNA from 1 species
UGUUUUAGAGUUUUCUAUCGAGAAAACUAUCGCGAAAAAAAAAACACUCGAAAAAGAAAAAGAAGAAAUCAUGGAGAAAGGUUGAAGGUUCAUCGAUCUCUUCUUCUCCUCCUCACCUCUCUCCAUAUCUCUCUCUUCUCUUCACCAUAAUCUUCUUCCUUUUAUUCUUCUCUCUCUUUCCUCUUCACAAAACAACAUCCCCGACUACUUUCAUCUUUGAAAAGGUAAUUGAUCGAUUUUUAUUACUUCUUCAUGUUUCUAUUCAAUCAAUUAUUGAUAUAAUUAUUAUAUCUAAGAAUAAUUUCUACUCAAUCUCUAAUUUUGACAUUUAUCUUCUUAGGUUUUUAACUUUUUGUUGCAAGUGAUUACUCAAUAAUCAAUUGGAAUUAGAGAAAGGUAUUAACAAUUGUUAUUAUCAACAGAUAGUAUUAAAAUUUGGGGUUUUCUUCUCUAGGAUUUGGGGGUUUGACUGAAUUUAGCUUAGCUUUUGAACUAGUGUAUUUUCUGGGAUUUUGCGACAUGGGAAUUUUCCCUGGGAUUUUGCGAGCAUGGGUUUAGAAGAUGGGAAUUUUCUCCUCUCAAUAGUCUUUGGUUAGAAUAACCUGUUCAGUGAGUUAUUCCAUUUCCUUUAAUUGUUAUGACCAUACAUCCUCCAAUGACCAUUUCUAUCGAACGCAAACUUAAGAAAACAGAGAAGUCUCUAUUAAAUUGUUCUGCAUAUGCUUUAUAUACAUUGGAAGGGCUUGUCCUUGCCAAAUAAACAUUGCCCUUAUUAUUCUCGAUACCUUGAGGAACCGGCAUGAAACGUAAUUGUGCAACGACGUUAGACAUUUUGUUUGUUGCAUUCAAGCUAGAAAAGUGCAUGCAUGUCAGUCAACAACUUUAGAAGAUGUAACUCCUUCAAAACUCAUAAUACAAGUAGUCAAGUACUGUAUGAUGUGAUUUUUUUUAACCAUUAUACCUGAGAGAGCCAAUGAAGAGCAUAGGAAGAAUGAACAAAGUUUAAGGUUUUGGUUGGAAAGAGCCUGUUAUAAAACGAUCCUGGCACCCCUGCCACAAAACUAGGUCUAACUUCUUGUCCAUUUUCUGACCUGAAUUUCUUAAAGAAGUAAGGAAUCGAUUUAAAGAUGGUGUUAAAAUCAUUUUCUGGAAGAUCAUUUAAAAACACUUGAAACUCAGGUGGCGAACGUCCCAAUUUCUGACAGACUACACUGAUAGCUUUUAGAAGCUCGGAAAUGACAAAUAGUGAGUUAGGUCCUGAAGAACAACCCAGGUCUGCGAUUGUUAAACACUGAGGGGAAGUUCUGUUGUAAAGUUCUACAAUAGUCUCUUCUAUAAAUGGCUUUAAAUAAUAUAAACAAAACAUUAAAACCAGCUUAGAACUUGAGAUAAGUAGCAGAAAAAGUUGCUUAGCUCUAAUGGCUACCAAACACCCACUUCAGCUCAACAUCUUGAGCUUUUCAAUAGAACAAAUGAUGGGAAACCUGAUAAUCGUGUGUUGGGAGUUGAGUUUGAUGUGUUUGAGAAUCAAGAGUUUAAUGAUAUUGAUAAUAAAUUAAUAAUCAUGUGGGUAUUGAUCUAUGUUCACUUACUUCCAUUGCUGCACAUUCUGCUGGUUAUUGGUCUGAUGUUCAACAUGAUAAAUUUCAUAAGUUGAAGCUUAAUAAGGGUAUGAAUUAUCAAGUUUGGAUCGAUUACUCAGAUUUUUUGUUAAAUGUUACUAUGGCUCCUGCAGGUAUGAAAAGGCCUAGAAAAGUGAGUUAUUCCAUUUCCUUUAAUUGUUAUGGCCAAAGUAAGUAUAGCUGCAAAUCAUAUCAUCUGUUGUUUGUGUACUGGGAUUGCAACUUGCAAGAAAACGAUCUAAAUAGACUUGUUUGGGCUCCAUGAACCAUGAAAUAUUGAGUUUAAGCUGUAUUUUUUCUAUAUUGCAAUGGUUUUGCAUGUGCAUAAUGUUUUUGCAUGUGCAUAAUGUUUUUGCGUAUAUACUACAAUAUAUACUACAAAUGCAUGUGCAUUUUUCUGAAAUGAUUAACACUCUUUCUAAUCGUAAUGUAGUGAAAUGGCACAAGCUUUGCCCAACAGUUCUACGCAAGGUUCAUCAAGUAGUGAUUCCAGUUCCAGUGAUGAUGAUUAGGAUGAUGAUAUGAUAGAUUUACUUAUGGUGAGAUAUAUUCUCGAAUGUGAAAGUCUUUUCGUGGAUAAGAUUCCUUGUAGGACAUCUAUGCUUAGUGGCAAGAAAUACAUAGAGUAUGUUACAAGAGAAGGAUUAGUAGUGGAAGAUGAGUUGGACCUUGGCGUGGUACAAGAGGGUAUUCAAGUAGAUAUGUCCCAACAGAACCAGAUGAAUGCAGUUAGAGAUGGUAUUACAAAUGAGAUGUGGAAUGACUACAAUUGUCGUCGUUAAUUCUUUAUAUAUUUAGUAUUUAGCUUAUUUUUUAGUGUUGAAUUUGUCAUAUGUAGUUUUAUGUAUUGGUAUUUUGGAUUAUGUAAACAAUGUUUCAUUAUUGUAAGGAUUUUGUAGAAUGCACUUUAUUAUUU